rnacentral:lncRNA from 1 species
ACAAUCAAACUGUUCCAGUUGUAAUUAACAGUUCAUAUAUCUUCUUAACAUAACCAAACUGAUUUUUCAGAAAAUAAGAAUAGAAUGAAUCAAGCCCAUAAAGAAAAGAUUUAUUUUUAAUUGAACAGAUUCAAUUUUAGACAGAUUAACAGAUCAGCAAGAAACCGAGUGCAAGGAUGAAGAGAAAUGAACACACAACAGUUAUACUGGUUCACUCAAAUGAGCUACAUCCAGUCUCACCUAAUCCAACGUGAAAUCCA